CAGUUGAUUCCUUAUUAUUUAACACUUCUCUGAAGUUCAAGUCUUUUUUUUUUUUCUCUCCCCCUUUCAAUGCAGCCUUCAUCCAAAAGACACCGCCAAAUGCUUUACAAGUAGUACAGAGGAAGAGAAAUUGUUUCUGGCAUUUCUUGCAGUAGUCAGCCCUGAGCAUCCAGAUUGCCCAGCUCACAAAAUGCAGAACCUGAUUUUGUUAGGAUGUACAGAUACUUCUGCUAUCAAACAAACAGACAGCCAGCCCGCUUACCCUGCUACCAGUUAGCCACCAAGUUUAGGAGAAUGAGCAAUGCCUCCGCUGGGGACUUCCCUGGCAGAUCCACGUCUGAACAGCCAGGGCUGGCUUCCAAGAACAUUAAAUUCCAGCUGCUUUUCCAUCCAAGGCAAGGUUAGUUUAGUAUCCCCCUUCCUCCCUGUGUCUUUACAGCAGGAGAUAUUCUAGCCAACGUAUUCGUCAUGUUUCUGAGCCUCCCUGCUGCUUGAUUUAUGCAGAGAGGACCAGGGAGAGAGAUUCCAGUGUGAACUACCUGCAGGUGUGCAGCAGGGUGCUGCAGUCCGUGCGGACCCAGCUAUGCCUGCUAAUCCCCACACGUGGCACCAAGACUGUUUCUUUCCCAUCGGUGCGUGCUGAGAGAUGCCCUCGGUGCCUGGGAGCACCACAGAGACGAGCAGGAGGGCGAGAGGGAUGCUGAGAUGGAGUUUCCAAACUUGCAGCUGAUGUUACUCUCCUCAUUGCUCCUCGUACUUCACUGUGCUGUUAAACUGUAGAUAACUGUAAGGCUUAAAAAAAAAAAAAGUUAUCUUAAUGUUCCCUGUGUCAUGCAGUUUAUGCACUCGUUCUGAGGUGAAGCAAAUGACUUAUGCCUGUUUUUUUUUUUAAGGUAGCUUAUGCAUAUUUGGUGCCUGGCUUAACGCUGCAAGGGACAUAAUUUUCAGUGGUAUAAUGGACCGCUUGAGUCUCUCUUGUCAACUGGGAGUUUGAGUAUGCAGUGCAUUUGGAAACGCAGCCCAUCCUGACCCAGCAACUGGCAAGGGAGAAAUCCAAAUCUAUCAGUCGCUAUUUCAGCCCGUGACUUCUGCUCGCCUUUGUCCCGCCCGAGCGUGGUAAGACACAGCUUGUGUGCUCUUCUGGAGUUGGCUUCGUGUGUGCAGCUGCAUGUUGAAAGGUACCGCAGUGUUUUCAGAAACCCAAAAGGUAGCCAGUCUCCAGCUGGUAAAAUUGUCAUCGUUCAUAGGCUGAUUGAACUGCGGGAAUUCACCCAAGUAGAGGAUCAGGUCCAGUGUACACAGCUGGGCACCAAGCUGAGCUCAGUAACUAUCUGUGCUCAGUGCUAAGCACCGGCC
rnacentral:lncRNA from 1 species